GUUGAAUAUCAGAGUCAGUUAUCGUCUCUCAUCACCUGGAAAUCAAAGAGCUGCGAAGAAAUUAAGAAUGUCGGGAGUCACCAAUCAAGAGGAGGACAAAAAACCCACUGAUCAAUCGGCUCAUAUCAAUCUCAAGGUCAAAGGACAGGAUGGUAACGAGGUUUUCUUCAGGAUUAAGAGGAGCACUCAACUGAAAAAACUUAUGAAUGCGUACUGUGAUCGACAGUCUGUGGAGAUGAAUUCUAUUGCAUUUCUUUUUGAUGGUCGUCGCCUUCGUGGGGAACAGACUCCAGAUGAGUUGGAAAUGGAGGAUGGGGAUGAGAUAGAUGCGAUGCUGCACCAAACAGGUGGUGUUAUUGCCUGAUGUAUGAGUUAUUAAUAUGUUAGGGACAAAAUAUUUGUACUAAGUGACUUAGGAUCUCUGGAUAACAAUGGCUAGAACUGUUUCAUCAAUUUCGCUUGUAGUACAUCUUUUCUAAACAUAGUUUGCUAAAUAGCCUAGUGUUGUAAUAUUGUGUGGAGCUUGGCACUAUUGUUUUAAAAGGUUUGCAAACAAACUUUGCUAACCUUUUAA
rnacentral:misc_RNA from 1 species